AUUGAACGCUGGCGGCAGGCCUAACACAUGCAAGUCGAACGAGUGGCGGACGGGUGAGUAAUGUCUGGGAACCUGCCUGAUGGAGGGGGAUAACUACUGGAAACGGUAGCUACAACCGCAUCCCAUCGGAUGUGCCCAGAUGGGAUUAGCUAGUAGGUGGGGUACAGGCUCACCGAGGCGACGAUCCCUAGCUGGUCUGAGAGGAUGACCAGCCACACUGGAACUGAGACACGGGCCAGACUCCUACGGGAGGCAGCAGUGGGGAAUAUUGCACAAUGGGCGAAAGCCUGAUGCAGCCAUGCCGCGUGUAUGAAGAAGGCCUUCGGGUUGUAAAGUACUUUCAGCGGGGAGGCGUUACCCGCAGAAGAAGCACCGGCUAACUCCGUGCCAGCAGCCGCGGUAAUAC
rnacentral:rRNA from 1 species